AUAAUGUUGAUGCACUAUGAGAGGUAGGCACGCUUUUUCUGUCCUCUUUAGAAAAGUUUGAUUCCUUCAAGCACAAAGUCAUACACACAGUGUUUUGUUCAUGAAUAAUGUUGUAUAUUUAGAGUUUACUCAUGAGUGGAUGGUAUUGUUAAGAUGCAAUUGUAAUUUUUAGGAUGAUAUUAACAUGGUUACUAGCUAGCUAAGGUAUUGUAUGUGUGAACAUGGCUAGCUCCUCGACUGAUCCCAGUCCUUUGUAUUGUGCGUCUAUGUUGUAGAAAGAGGCGACAAUGGGCAGAACAUAUUUGUGCUCUACAAAUGUUUUGUCUUUUCUUUUGGAUGCAGAGAUAAUUCUGAUUCAUUAAAACAGCCUGAUCUCCGAAGUCCACGUCUAUAGUCCCAAUCAAUCACACACAACGCAGAGAUACAGCCGUGCAGUACAGUGCCGGUUAUGGGGCCUUCUAGACCCGGAUUCAUCGUUGAUCGACGUCAGCUCAAUCACCGCGGCGCUGCUGCUCUAGAGACUCUGUUUACAUCAUUAAGGUAGAUGAACCUCCUUCUUAUUAACUUUUCCACUCCCAAAGACCCAGCUGAGCCAGCUUCCACUGUUCUUGUGAACAGCAGGGGUCUCGGGCUCAGCCACCGGCCGGCUGCCAGUCUGGCACUGAGGGUUGGCCUCGGAGUGUUCUGGCUUGGUGAUGGACAUCAUAGCAGGAUGCUCAACAUAUCUAAGCCGGACAUCUGUAAUAAGUGGGAGAAGUCAGGCGACUCUGCUCAUGUCACCAUACAGAACAAUCACUAGCUGACAGGGACGCUGGCUGUGGGGAGGAUCCCCUCCCUCUGUGCAGGAACACUGGCCUUUGGGAAGAUCCACUCCCUGUGAGCAGGGACGCU